rnacentral:sRNA from 1 species
ACGCGUCAGUCGUGCACGCCGGUUUCCGUGUACCGUCCGCAUCCACCCUGACGAGCGCUUGUUACGUCUUGUCAGUC